rnacentral:rRNA from 1 species
UACGUAGGAGGCAAGCGUUGUCCGGAAUUACUGGGCGUAAAGCGCGUGUAGGUGGUGGGACAAGUCUGCUGUGAAAGCGCCUGGCUUAACCGGGCGAGGUCGGCGGAAACUGUCCGACUCGAGGACGGUAGAGGGGGGUGGAACUGCGAGUGUAGAGGUGAAAUUCGUAGAUAUUCGCAAGAACACCAGUGGCGAAGGCGGCUCACUGGCCCGGUACUGACGCUGAGGUGCAAAAGCGUGGGGAGCAAACAGG